GUACGGGGGGGGGCAAGCGUUGUUCGGAAUUACUGGGGCGUAAAGGGCUCGUAGGCGGCCAACUAAGUCGGACGUGAAAAUCCCCCAGGCUCAACCCUGGGAACUGCGUCCGAUACUGGAUGGCUUGAAUCCGGGAGAGGGAUGCAGAAUUCCAGGUGUAGCGGUGAAAUGCGUAGAUAUCGAGAGGAACACCUGCGGCGAAGGCGGGUUGCUGGGCUGACACUGACGCUGAAGCGCGAAAGCUAGGGGAGCGAACGGG
rnacentral:rRNA from 1 species